rnacentral:rRNA from 1 species
GGGUUGUGAGGUUAAGCGACUAAGCGUACACGGUGGAUGCCCUGGCAGUCAGAGGCGAUGAAGGGCGUGCUAAUCUGCGAUAAGCGCCGGUAAGGUGAUAUGAACCGUUAUAACCGGCGAUACCCGAAUGGGGAAACCCAGUGUGAUUCGUCACACUAUCAUUAACUGAAUCCAUAGGUUAAUGAGGCGAACCGGGGGAACUGAAACAUCUAAGUACCCCGAGGAAAAGAAAUCAACCGAGAUUCCCCCAGUAGCGGCGAGCGAACGGGGAGGAGCCCAGAGCCUGAAUCAGCAUGUGUGUUAGUGGAAGCGUCUGGAAAGGCGCGCGAUACAGGGUGACAGCCCCGUACACAAAAGCGCAUGUGCUGUGAGCUCGAUGAGUAGGGCGGGACACGUGGUAUCCUGUCUGAAUAUGGGGGGACCAUCCUCCAAGGCUAAAUACUCCUGACUGACCGAUAGUGAACCAGUACCGUGAGGGAAAGGCGAAAAGAACCCCGGCGAGGGGAGUGAAAAAGAACCUGAAACCGUGUACGUACAAGCAGUGGGAGCCCCACCACUAAGCCAGUGGUGAACUCCACAUCCGCAUCCUUUGCUGAGGAUACGGUUAACGGAGCGAAAGCGACGUUCAACCGCAAAACAAGCAGAGGGGGCUUAGUGGUGGGGUGACUGCGUACCUUUUGUAUAAUGGGUCAGCGACUUAUAUUCUGUAGCAAGGUUAACCGAAUAGGGGAGCCGGAGGGAAACCGAGUCUUAAUUGGGCGUUAAGUUGCAGGGUAUAGACCCGAAACCCGGUGAUCUAGCCAUGGGCAGGUUGAAGGUUGGGUAACACUAACUGGAGGACCGAACCGACUAAUGUUGAAAAAUUAGCGGAUGACCUGUGGCUGGGGGUGAAAGGCCAAUCAAACCGGGAGAUAGCUGGUUCUCCCCGAAAGCUAUUUAGGUAGCGCCUCGUGAAUUCAUCUCCGGGGGUAGAGCACUGUUUCGGCUAGGGGGCCAUCCCGGCUUACCAACCCGAUGCAAACUGCGAAUACCGGAGAAUGUUAUCACGGGAGACACACGGCGGGUGCUAACGUCCGUCGUGAAGAGGGAAACAACCCAGACCGCCAGCUAAGGUCCCAAAGUCAUGGUUAAGUGGGAAACGAUGUGGGAAGGCCCAGACAGCCAGGAUGUUGGCUUAGAAGCAGCCAUCAUUUAAAGAAAGCGUAAUAGCUCACUGGUCGAGUCGGCCUGCGCGGAAGAUGUAACGGGGCUAAACCAUGCACCGAAGCUGCGGCAGCGAACGUAUCACCCAAGACAACUUUACGGAGUUGACGAUUGACGGAGCGAAGCGACGUCAAAGCGUUCAUUAAAGUCGAGUUGGCUUAGGGAUACGUUCGUUGGGUAGGGGAGCGUUCUGUAAGCCUGUGAAGGUGUGUCGUGAGGCAUGCUGGAGGUAUCAGAAGUGCGAAUGCUGACAUAAGUAACGAUAAAGCGGGUGAAAAGCCCGCUCGCCGGAAGACCAAGGGUUCCUGUCCAACGUUAAUCGGGGCAGGGUGAGUCGACCCCUAAGGCGAGGCCGAAAGGCGUAGUCGAUGGGAAACGGGUUAAUAUUCCCGUACUUGGUGUUACUGCGAAGGGGGGACGGAGAAGGCUAUGUUGGCCGGGCGACGGUUGUCCCGGUUUAAGCGUGUAGGUGUGUGUUCCAGGUAAAUCCGGUUCACUUUAACACUGAGGCGUGACGACGAGGCACUACGGUGCUGAAGCAACAAAUGCCCUGCUUCCAGGAAAAGCCUCUAAGCAUCAGGUAACAUCAAAUCGUACCCCAAACCGACACAGGUGGUCAGGUAGAGAAUACCAAGGCGCUUGAGAGAACUCGGGUGAAGGAACUAGGCAAAAUGGUGCCGUAACUUCGGGAGAAGGCACGCUGACACGUAGGUGAAGUGAUUUACUCAUGGAGCUGAAGUCAGUCGAAGAUACCAGCUGGCUGCAACUGUUUAUUAAAAACACAGCACUGUGCAAACACGAAAGUGGACGUAUACGGUGUGACGCCUGCCCGGUGCCGGAAGGUUAAUUGAUGGGGUCAGCGCAAGCGAAGCUCCUGAUCGAAGCCCCGGUAAACGGCGGCCGUAACUAUAACGGUCCUAAGGUAGCGAAAUUCCUUGUCGGGUAAGUUCCGACCUGCACGAAUGGCGUAAUGAUGGCCAGGCUGUCUCCACCCGAGACUCAGUGAAAUUGAACUCGCUGUGAAGAUGCAGUGUACCCGCGGCAAGACGGAAAGACCCCGUGAACCUUUACUAUAGCUUGACACUGAACAUUGAGCCUUGAUGUGUAGGAUAGGUGGGAGGCUUUGAAGUGUGGACGCCAGUCUGCAUGGAGCCGACCUUGAAAUACCACCCUUUAAUGUUUGAUGUUCUAACGUGGACCCGUAAUCCGGGUUGCGGACAGUGUCUGGUGGGUAGUUUGACUGGGGCGGUCUCCUCCUAAAGAGUAACGGAGGAGCACGAAGGUUGGCUAAUCCUGGUCGGACAUCAGGAGGUUAGUGCAAUGGCAUAAGCCAGCUUGACUGCGAGCGUGACGGCGCGAGCAGGUGCGAAAGCAGGUCAUAGUGAUCCGGUGGCUCUGAAUGGAAGGGCCAUCGCUCAACGGAUAAAAGGUACUCCGGGGAUAACAGGCUGAUACCGCCCAAGAGUUCAUAUCGACGGCGGUGUUUGGCACCUCGAUGUCGGCUCAUCACAUCCUGGGGCUGAAGUAGGUCCCAAGGGUAUGGCUGUUCGCCAUUUAAAGUGGUACGCGAGCUGGGUUUAGAACGUCGUGAGACAGUUCGGUCCCUAUCUGCCGUGGGCGCUGGAGAACUGAGGGGGGCUGCUCCUAGUACGAGAGGACCGGAGUGGACGCAUCACUGGUGUUCGGGUUGUCAUGCCAAUGGCACUGCCCGGUAGCUAAAUGCGGAAGAGAUAAGUGCUGAAAGCAUCUAAGCACGAAACUUGCCCCGAGAUGAGUUCUCCCUGAGACUUAGAGUCUCCUGAAGGAACGUUGAAGACGACGACGUUGAUAGGCCGGGUGUGUAAGCGCAGCGAUGCGUUGAGCUAACCGGUACUAAUGAACCGUGAGGCUUAACCUUACAACGCCGAAG